GACGAACGCUGGCGGCGUGCUUAACACAUGCAAGUCGAACGGAUCACAUUGCUUCGGUUUUGUGGUGGGUGGCGAACGGGUGAGUAACACGUGAGUAACCUGCCCCCUUCUUUGGGAUAACGUCGGGAAAUCGGCGCUAAUACUGGAUAUUCUGGUUUCCUCGCAUGGGGUUUCUGGGAAAGGUUUUCUGGUGGGGGAUGGGCUCGCGGCCUAUCAGCUUGUUGGUGGGGUGAUGGCCUACCAAGGCGGUGACGGGUAGCCGGCCUGAGAGGGUGUCCGGACACACUGGGACUGAGGCACGGCCCAGACUCCUACGGGAGGCAGCAGUGGGGAAUAUUGCACAAUGGGCGCAAGCCUGAUGCAGCGACGCCGCGUGAGGGAUGACGGCCUUCGGGUUGUAAACCUCUUUCAGUACAGAACAAGGCCUUCGGGUUGAGGGUAUGUGCAGAAGAAGCGCCGGCUAACUACGUGCCAGCAGCCGCGGUAAUAC
rnacentral:rRNA from 1 species